rnacentral:lncRNA from 1 species
GACAAGCUCAUUUAGAGCAUAUAUCAAUUCUGUAUGCUUCAGGGCAACGCGAGUGGGGCUGUAAUGAAGAACAGUCUGUUUCUGGAAGAUGCCAACAUGCUGAACUGACCCAAUCCCCAAUCUGUGCAGAGGCCAAGGCUCUUCUGUCUCCAUCAGUUAGUUGUAGGGAACUUUUAUAAGGCCAUAGGAGUAAGUUUAUGGGAGAGGUGGCAGUAGAGCAGAGGUAACUGACCUGGGAGUUUGGAAACGUGGGUUUUGUUUUUUUGCCUUAGAAGGCAUGACCUUGCUCCAG